rnacentral:lncRNA from 1 species
ACAACUGCAUCAAUCAGCGACUCAGAUGCUGACCAGCUUGAUUCUGACGAGGAAGGGCCACCGCCCCAAGAUGUCGCCACGGCACCACCGCCACCUUCAAGGGCGGGUGCUUCGCAGCACGCGCCGCUGGUGAUUCAAAAGCAGGCGCGGCGCCAGCAAACACAGCGUGUGCUGAAAGGCCAAAGCGAUGGGAGCUGGCGGG